rnacentral:rRNA from 1 species
GGUGUUAGACCCGUUGGAGUUUACGUGGCUGUUAUUGAUGCUUCCUAUGAGUCGGAUUGUUUGAGAAUGCAGUCCAAAUUUGGUGGUAAACUCCAUCUAAGGCUAAAUACUUGUAUGAGUCCGAUAGCAAACAAGUACCGUGAGGGAAAGUUGAAAAGAACUUUGAAGAGAGAGUUAAAUAGUACGUGAAAUCGCUUAGAGGUAAACGAGUGGAGCCGAAAAUGUCGAAUGGGAUUCAGUUGGGUGUGCUGGGAUGAUCUGUGCGGUAAAAACCACAUCUGGCAUUACUGUAUGGAUAUAUUUUCAGUGCACACAAUGCACUUUCUGUUUGGCUAAACUGUGACCAAUAGAGUCGUUUGAAAGUCGUAAAGUUGAAGGUGAUCAAUUGUUCGCAAUUGGUUUUAUAGCGCUUUACACGGUCAAAUGUGAUGUAUUGGUGAUCUGCAAUCAGUCAACGUUGAUGACAAGCUGUAUAUGUGAUUUGGUAGUAGAAUACUUGUAGACUAUUAUCGAGUUGUAUGUGUGGCGUGUUGUUGAUGGAUUGGUUUAAAGUCACAGUAUAUGUAGGUUAUCUACUUGUCCCGUCUUGAAACACGGACCAAGGAGUUUUAUAUGAUCGCGAGUCAAAGGGCUUUACGAAACCCCAGGGCGCAAUUAAUGUGAAGGUUUACGUUUGGUAAACUGUGAUAUGACCUGAUUUCUUAAACCGAAUCAGUGCAAUAUCGACCCGUCUAAAGAUGUUCGCAUCUGGGCGGAGUUUGAGCGAUCAUGUAGAGACCCGAAAGAUGGUGAACUAUGCUUGUGCAGGUUGAAGUCAGAGGAAACUCUGAUGGAGGACCGCCGCGGUUCUGACGUGCAAAUCGAUCGUCGGACAUGAGUAUAGGGGCGAAAGACUAAUCGAACCAUCUAGUAGCUGGUUCCCUCCGAAGUUUCCCUCAGGAUAGCUGGCGUUCAGUUGUCGUAGUUUUACCCGGUAAAGCGAAUGAUUAGAAGUAUUGGGGGCGAAAUGCCCUCAACUUAUUCUCAAACUUUAAAUGGGUUCGAUGUGCAGCUCGCUU